GAACGCUGGCGGCGUGCUUAACACAUUGCAAGUCGAACGGAAAGGCCCUGCUUUUGUGGGGUGCUCGAGUGGCGAACGGGUGAGUAACACGUGAGUAACCUGCCCUUGACUUUGGGAUAACUUCAGGAAACUGGGGCUAAUACCGGAUAGGAGCUCCUGCUGCAUGGUGGGGGUUGGAAAGUUUCGGCGGUUGGGGAUGGACUCGCGGCUUAUCAGCUUGUUGGUGGGGUAGUGGCUUACCAAGGCUUUGACGGGUAGCCGGCCUGAGAGGGUGACCGGCCACAUUGGGACUGAGAUACGGCCCAGACUCCUACGGGAGGCAGCAGUGGGGAAUAUUGCACAAUGGGCGGAAGCCUGAUGCAGCAACGCCGCGUGCGGGAUGACGGCCUUCGGGUUGUAAACCGCUUUCGCCUGUGACGAAGCGUGAGUGACGGUAAUGGGUAAAGAAGCACCGGCUAACUACGUGCCAGCAGCCGCGGUGAUACGUAGGGUGCGAGCGUUGUCCGGAUUUAUUGGGCGUAAAGGGCUCGUAGGUGGUUGAUCGCGUCGGAAGUGUAAUCUUGGGGCUUAACCCUGAGCGUGCUUUCGAUACGGGUUGACUUGAGGAAGGUAGGGGAGAAUGGAAUUCCUGGUGGAGCGGUGGAAUGCGCAGAUAUCAGGAGGAACACCAGUGGCGAAGGCGGUUCUCUGGGCCUUUCCUGACGCUGAGGAGCGAAAGCGUGGGGAGCGAACAGGCUUAGAUACCCUGGUAGUCCACGCUGUAAACGGUGGGUACUAGGUGUGGGGUCCAUUCCACGGGUUCCGUGCCGUAGCUAACGCUUUAAGUACCCCGCCUGGGGAGGUACGGCCGCAAGGCUA
rnacentral:rRNA from 1 species